rnacentral:lncRNA from 7 species
UCUUUGGAAUGGAAGAGGAUAGAUUUCGGCUAGGUAUUAGGAAGAAAUUCUUUCCUGUGAGGGUGGUGAGACACGGAACAGGCUGCCCAGAGAGGUUGUGGGUGUUCCCACCCUGGAAGCAUUCAAGGCCAGGCUGGAUGGGGCUGUGUGCAACCCGGUCUGGUGGGAGGUACCCCUGCCUUUAGAAGGAGGGUUGAAACUAGAUGAUCUUAAAGGUCUCUUCCAACUGAAGCCAUGUGAGUAUUCUCUGGAAGUCUGGUAAAGAGACGUGGUCAGAUUUUUGAGUUGGAUAUCUGGUUGCAACUCCAGAUGUUCACUUUGAGAAUUUGCUGCUCCUCAAUUUAUAGCAACUGAAAAUGGAACACGAGGCGCAAAUUCAAUAUUUUUUAUUGCAAUCUCCAGGUCUAUUUUCAAACUCCUUUCUCAAAAUGAAAGCACAGAUGCGUAAUCAUCAGUGUCCAAAGGCUUGUGUUUGGCAAAGACAUGAAAAUGCAUGCAGUCAUUUUCUCUCAAUUUCCAUAUUCCUGUUUGUUCUGUGUAUUCCUACUGACACAUCUAUUCAUUUACACGUAGUGCCACCCCACAGGGGAUAAGGGAAGGUUGGAAAGGAGACGAUUUGGCAGACACUAUCCAGAGUACUCAAAUAUUGUGUUAUGUUGCAAAUAUAAACUGAAUUAUUGUGAUCCAGGAUGACACUGUCCGUUGAACUGAUAUGAAAAGCAACCUGGAGUGCCAUUCCUGUAAUAAAAUGGAUGGCACAGUUCUGACAAACUUUGCAGAGAUGGAUUUAUUUUCGGGAAUGAUCUGCAGAAGAUGCAGAGUUAUCCAGUGACAUGGAGGCCAUUUCUGCUAAUUCUGUGUCUUCAACAGAAGAAAUAUUGAGAGCAUUUUCUCAUGCCCCUGUCCGUGCCUUUGUGCUUCACAGAGCGGUUGUGGUUGAGUUUGGGGCUCAUUGUAGAGGGUGCGCGGAUUUGGGUGGGUCGGUCAGGCGGCUCUCGGGGCGUGCGAGGAGGCGGGGAGGCGCUGCAGCUUGGGUGCGUUGCCCGAAGCGCCGCCUCGGCAGGAGUGUGGGUGCUCACACUGCUCACUGCAGCACGGGGGUUGGUGGUGACGAUGCUGAGGAUCUCCCUCCGGUCCCUAUCACCACGGUGGAUGAAACUCUGGACCAUGUAGGCACCCAAUUUGUGUGAUAGCUUUCUGGGUUGCCCUUUAAUUUGCAUUGUCUGACAACCAGAGGUUUUGUGACUUAUGUUAUAUUGGGAUCUUUGCUGUGAUACUUCACUUUAUUUUCUUCUUUGUGAAUCUGCAUUUUCUCUUAGAAUCAUGUAUGUGAGCACAGUGCUCUUUGAGAGCAAAGCUUCUCUACUCUCCUCUUCAGUAUAAAAACAGUUAAUUAUAUCGAAUAGUUUUUCAUUCCUGUAGGGAAUUGUAUUUUCCGUUUCUUUUCUGACCUUUUUUUCAUAUGCUUCUAAAAUGUGUUUAUUUUCUUUUUGUCUCACUGAUAUCUUGUCCCGUUUUCUGUUGUAUGAAGCUACAGACCUCACUCUUUCUUAUUGUAGAAUCGUAGAACCAUAGAGUUGCCUGGAUUGAAAAGGACCACAAUGGUCAUUUAGUUUCAACCUCCCUGCUAUGUGGAGUGUCACCCACCACUAGACCACACUGCCCAGAGCUAAAUCCAGCCUGGUCUUGAAUGCCUCCAGUGACGGGGCAUCCAGAACCUCCUUGGGCAACCUGUUCCAGUGUGUCACCACCCUCUGUGUGAAAAACUACUUCCUAAUAUCUAACCUUAACCUCCCCUGUUUCAGUUUAAAACAAUUCCUCCUUGUCCUAUCACUAUUUACCCUCGUAAACAGCUGCUCCCCUUCCUGUUUAUAUGCUCCCUUCAAGUAUUUGAAGGCCACAAUGAGGUCUCCUAGGAGCCUUCUCUUCUCUGAGCUAUACAAUCCCAGUUCUUACUCAGUUCUGGAACAAAACCAUGAGACUGGGCACGCAAAUCCUCUUCAGUCCUCUUGACAAUGCUGCAUAGCCUACCUGUCAUGUCAGCUGGGCAAUGAAGCUGUGAGGUCUGUGUAACAUUGCAGUAUAAAUAUUACUGCCUUUCUUUGCUGGAUUACAGAUUUCCUUUUCUCUGAGAUUUGUAUUUUGCCUCCUGGUCAAUGCCUUCCCAUGUAACAAUUGUGUUACAUGAAUUUCACUAGUGUUUGUCAAGAAGUUGCUCUCAUCCACACAUUAUGAUAUAUGCUCUUGCAUCUCAUCUAUCAAAAUGGGUCAUUUCUCUGAAUCCAACUGUUCUCUAGGAGAGAGUUAAAAACUGCACAAAAAGAGUCUAUAAAAUGUGGAUGAUGUGUCUCCUUGGGGUUGCCUCAUAAUAUAGCAGCACUGAUAAUGACUGAUAAUGUUAGCAUAAGCUGUACUUAGCUGUGAAAAUAUGUACAUUGUGUUUGGAUGCAUUCUAGGACAAGCCCACGAAUUGCCUCAGAGGAUAUGGAAGUCACUACUGAGAUAAGCAUAUGAAACCAAGGACCUUCCUCUUCAGUCUUCAUUCCUAUUUGCUGAGGCUUCUCUAUAUGACAAUUUAUUAUAAUAUGAUUUUCCAGAUUUUUCUUAUAACUCUAGCAUUCUCUCACUUUUUCCCCCUUUUCUUUUUCUUUUACGAACUCAGUUUUAACUGUCUUACCUAUUCCCUUUAAGAAGUACUGUCACCCCACAUACAUUAAUCAAUUAUUGGGGUGAAAUGUGGUAUGGCACUAAAUAUUUGCAAACUCUCAUGUCAUGUUGAGCUGCAGUUAUAAACUGUGUAUUUGUAAAUCAAGAUGACCUUGUCUGUAAUACUGAAAUAAAGGAACACCUGAGUGCCAUUACUUCAAUAAAGUUGUUGUUGUGGAUAAAGACUCUCCUGUGCUAUUCUAUUAGGUAUAUGGAAAGUACCAUUCCAGCUGGAUGCAUAUGAAUGUAUGAGUCCCGAUAGAAUUCAUGCCAG